GACGAACGCUGGCGGCGUGCUUAACACAUGCAAGUCGAACGGUGAAGCGCCUUCCUUUUUGGUGGGUGUGGAUGAGUGGCGAACGGGUGAGUAACACGUGAGUAACCUGCCCCCUUCUUCUGGAUAACCGCAUGAAAGUGUGGCUAAUACGGGAUAUUCUGGGUCUGUCGCAUGAUGGGUCUGGGAAAGAUAUUGUUUCGGUGGGGGAUGGGCUCGCGGCCUAUCAGCUUGUUGGUGGGGUGAUGGCCUACCAAGGCGGUGACGGGUAGCCGGCAUGAGAGGGUGGACGGUCACACUGGGACUGAGACACGGCCCAGACUCCUACGGGAGGCAGCAGUGGGGAAUAUUGCACAAUGGGCGCAAGCCUGAUGCAGCGACGCCGCGUGAGGGAUGGAGACCUUCGGGUUGUGAACCUCUUUCGCCAGUGAAGCAGGCCUGCCUCGUUUGUGGGUGGGUUGACGGUAGCUGGAUAAGAAGCGCCGGCUAACUACGUG
rnacentral:rRNA from 1 species